GUUAAUUCUACUGCACACUGCAGUAACAAAUACUCCAGGCGGAAGUUGAGAGUACUACAGAAGGAGCACUUCCCGCUAUUUUCCCAUUUUGAGAGCCAUGUAAGAAAAACAGAUUCUUUGUCAACAGACCGAAUGAUUGAAAAAUACAGAAUUAUAUAAAUAUGUAAAUCAUAAUGAACAUUCAAUCAUCAUUACUGUAGUAAGAUUCCAUUGUUAGCAAUAUUAAUUGCUCAAAUCAUCUUAAAUGUCGAGAAUAAUUCUUAUCUUCGUUAUAAUCGCAUUAUUUAUUGCCGCAAUUACUGCAGAACAGUGUAUAAAUUAUCAGGAAGACUGCUCACACGGUAGCAAUUGCUGUCAAGGCCUGGCUUGUAAGCGUAUACCUGAUUUGGGAAAUGUCUGCCUGUAUGAAGAUGAUGGACGAUUUGAAACAGUAUAAAUUGUAAAAAUUAAUCUGUAGAGAUGACUCGUGUACACAGACAAAGAAAUUAACUUGGUUCCAGUAAAUUAUUUUCUUCAAAAUAUUAUUCUUGUUUGAAAACAUCUAAACUAUCCCUGGUGGAAAUUUUUUGGACUUCUGUCUUAAAAAGUCUUUGGAACUCUAGAACUGAGUUUUUAAGACAGAAGUCCGAAAAAUUUCCACCAGAGAUUUAAUUAAAAAAAAAAUUCAAUCUUGAAUAAAUAAGU